rnacentral:lncRNA from 1 species
CCGUGGGAGUUGGCAGCGAGCACUCCAGCUGGAGUGGUGGCAGCUUUGGCCAGGAGUAUGCUGACCGGUGUAGUCAGUCCAGGGAACAAGAGGAUGGCCCUGGAGGGGCUUUUUCAGUGUUGCUUCUUUUCUAGACAGAGGAGGAUAUCUUGGUCAGAAAAGAGCUUGAAGAAAUUGCCAGGACUCACCCAGACCAGUUCAACCUGUGGUACACCCUGGACAGGCCUCCCAUUGGCUGGAAGUACAGCUCAGGCUUCGUUACUGCCGACAUGAUCAAGGAGCACCUUCCUCCUCCAGCGAAGUCCACGCUCAUCCUGGUGUGUGGCCCGCCACCACUAAUCCAGACGGCGGCUCACCCUAACCUGGAGAAGCUGGGUUAUACCCAGGACAUGAUUUUCACCUACUAACACCUCCACGUGCUCAGCAAUUUUGCAUGUCCCUUUUCAUCUGUUUCAGAGUAAGUUCAAUUUCACCACGGUAAACUGGGAUGUUUUCAAAA